GGAUUAGAUACCCUGGUAGUCCACGCCGUAAACGAUGGAUACUAGCUGUUGAUUACCUUCGGGUGAUGAGCGGCCCAGCGAAAGUGAUAAGUAUCCCACCUGGGGAGUACGUUCGCAAGAAUGAAACUCAAAGGAAUUGACGGGGGCCCGCACAAGCGGUGGAGCAUGUGGUUUAAUUCGAUGAUACGCGAGGAACCUUACCAAGGCUUAAAUGCAAUACGCAUGUUGUGGAAACAUAACAGUCUUUUUAAGACGGAUUGCAAGGUGCUGCAUGGUUGUCGUCAGCUCGUGUCG
rnacentral:rRNA from 1 species